rnacentral:antisense_RNA from 1 species
CUUGAGCGACCCGAUCCACAGUGGACGGUCUUCGGGCCGGUCGUCGCCGUACGUGGCGAGCAGGGCCUGCGCCUC